rnacentral:rRNA from 1 species
GAUGAACGCUAGCGGCAGGCCUAACACAUGCAAGUCGAGGGAGAGGUUACCUUCGGGUAACCAAAACCGGCGCACGGGUGCGUAACGCGUAUACAAUCUGCCUUUCACAUAGGGAUAGCCCGAAGAAAUUUGGAUUAAUACCUAAUGGUAUAUAAGAGCGGCAUCGUUUUUAUAUUAAAGCUACGGUGGUGAAAGAUGAGUAUGCGUUCUAUUAGCUAGUUGGAGAGGUAACGGCUCCCCAAGGCGACGAUAGAUAGGGGUUCUGAGAGGGAUGUCCCCCACACUGGUACUGAGAUACGGACCAGACUCCUACGGGAGGCAGCAGUGAGGAAUAUUGGACAAUGGUCGGAAGACUGAUCCAGCCAUGCCGCGUGCAGGAUGAAGGUCCUAUGGAUUGUAAACUGCUUUUGUAAGGGAAGAAUAAGGGGUACGUGUACUUUGAUGACGGUACCUUACGAAUAAGCAUCGGCUAACUCCGUG